UACAGAGGUGGCAAGCGUUGUUCGGAAUUACUGGGCGUAAAGGGCGCGUAGGCGGUUCGUUAAGUCCUGUGUGAAAUCCCCCGGCUCAACUGGGGAACUGCACAGGAAACUAGCGGGCUUGAGUUCGGGAGAGGGAAGCGGAAUUCCGGGUGUAGCGGUGAAAUGCGUAGAUAUCCGGAGGAACACCGGUGGCGAAGGCGGCUUGCUGGCAUGUUUCUGACGCUAAGGCACGAAAGCGUGGGGAGCGAACAGGA
rnacentral:rRNA from 1 species